rfam:Brachypodium distachyon strain Bd21 chromosome 1, whole genome shotgun sequence.
CUGCACGAUGCUAACCCCGGGCUUGUCGGAUGGAUCUCGAUCCUCUGAAGAAGGAAGCCCCAAAGCCUGUGCUAGAUCCACCGUGCCAUUCAGUGUUGCAGGCCAGGACACCACGCGUGAUUGAUUGGCCUGUGUCAGAGUAAUGGAGACAUGC